GGAUUCCCAUGCUAAACAUGGAGAAAGCUUCAAAAAAUUAAGUUUUACGUUUGAAGGAGUAUUUUUGUUCCAAAAAUACUCCUUCCGGUUUGUCACAAGUUUCGGAAAGUUUUUUUUCGAGUAUGGGUCUGUGUGACGUUAGAUGGUGCGGAAUUUCCUUAUAUGGGUCCUAAGGGCACUCUCCCGGAAGAGCGCGCGCGCCCGUAGACCAGAACAGAUACAUUCAUUGACCAGAGCGAGAGAGCAAAAUGUCACCAAAGAAGUGUGUUUUUGGUUGCCAGGGCAAGACAACCCUGCACAGAUUACAAAAAAAAAAACAGCAUUAAGGGACCAGUGGAUGGAGUUUAUUUUUACAGAGCAUCAACGGAGUUGUGCAAGUGUUUUUGUUUGUUCCCUGCAUUUCGAAGAUGCUUGUUUUACAAACAAGUCACAUUUUGACGCCGGAUUUGCAAAUCGUUUAUUUCUUAAGGAUGAUGCAGUCCCAACGAAAAAGGGUCACGAUCGUGUGUUGGAACCGCAGGCGAGCACAUCUACAUAUGUUCCUACCAGCCAGGACUUUCUUUCUGUCAAGCACAUGGAAUGUCAAACAGAACAUAAAACAACUGUGUCUGCUGAAGUGCAAGCCAAACCACUAAUGCAAUCUAUAGGAAUUCAGUGUACUUUUUUUCCAUCUCAAAAGACAGCUGCCACACAGUUAUCUUUCACUAAACAGACAGGACAUGUACGGAGCAAAGGCACACAGGCAACAGUUUCCUUUACAAGUGUUAGUAUUGAGACAACACCGGUUGAAACAUGGAGGCAUAUGUCAUCUACACCAAUAAAGGCAUCAACAUCUGGACUCGAUCCAACACCAAUUAAAAGGCCGCAUACAGAAUUGCUGGAUGAGGAAGAGAAUCCAACAAAUUUAUCAGAAAUUCGACAAACUCUAGAUUCCUAAUAUGAGCCUGGUGACUCUGUUGCAGAGCCUUCUGAAACAAGUGGGAUGGACAUCUCUUGAGAUUACACCGAUGCAAAGUACAUUGUUUUUGAAAGCUCUCUCAGAGAGCUUUUUAAAACAUGUCCUUUUUGCAAGAAUAACUGCAAUGUACAGCGACGUCGGCUUGGUAAAUUUGUGUCAUUCUGUCAGGUCUGCGAACACUGUCAAUAUACCAAAAAAUGGCAGAGCCAGCCUGUGAAAGGAAGCACCUCAGUUGGAAACCUGCAAAUGUCAGCAGCAGUGUAUUUCACUGGUGGAUCAUUUAUUCAAAUGCAUAAGAUUUGCAGAGCUAUGAAUCUACAAAUUCACCACUUCAGAUCAUUCAGAAUGCAUGCUCGGAUGUUUCUUGAACCAGCCAUAUUUCACAAGUGGAAGAUGGAUCAGCAGGCCAUGUUCCAGUCACUACAACCAUUGG